rnacentral:rRNA from 1 species
AUUGAACGCUGGCGGCAUGCCUUACACAUGCAAGUCGAACGGCAGCACGGGUGCUUGUACCUGUUGGCGAGUGGCGAACGGGUGCGUAAUACAUCGGAACAUGUCCUGUCGUUGUGGAUAGCCCGGCGAAAGCCGGAUUAAUACCGCAUACGCUCUACGGCUGAAAGCGGGGGACCUUCGGGCCUCGCGCUAUCGGGUUUGCCGAUGGCUGAUUAGCUAGUUGGUGGGGUAAAGGCCUACCAAGGCGACGAUCAGUAGCUGGUCUGAGAGGACGACCAGCCACACUGGAACUGAGACACGGCCCAGACUCCUACGGGAGGCAGCAGUGGGGAAUAUUGGACAAUGGGCGAAAGCCUGAUCCAGCAAUGCCGCGUGUGUGAAGAAGGCCUUCGGGUUGUAAAGCACUUUUGUCCGGAAAGAAAACCUUGGCCCUAAUACGGUCGGGGGAUGACGGUACCGGAAGAAUAAGCACCGGCUAACUACGUG